UACCUGUGGAUGAUAUGUGCUCGUCUUUUUCUUCUGCCUUAGAUGACCAGG
rnacentral:sRNA from 1 species